AUCACAUGCUCGGCUUUUUGGCUAGAAUCAGUGUAGUAUCUGUUCUGAUCAGUUUAAUAGCUGAUACGCCCCUUAUCAGGGGACCCUAUAUUACAUGGAUUUUACAUCAGGGAGAUGGAAGACGAGUUUGCUCUGUCCACUCCACGCAUUGACCUGGUAGGGAAGUACCUACAGGACCGGUGCAACUAUG